UUGUACUUAUGGUGGCCACUAUUAAGUACAAGAUAUUAAAUUGUGGCAUUGUGGUUCAAUGCAGGAUUUAACCAGUUUUCUAUUAGGCAGCCAAGUGGCUAUCCUGACAAAUAACUCCUCUGCUCUACUGGUUGUUGCUUUAGCUAUUGGAGAGUGGGCUUGCAUAAACAUGCAUCAUGACCUGUAUCAGAAGCUGCAUUGGAUUAUGGCAGCUUUCAUGUUAAGUUAAUUUUGAAUAGAAAUGAUUUGUUGGUUUUGUCUUUCGACUUUAUUGGCUUUCUCUUUAGGUGUCAUGUUCAAAGUGUAAUUAAAGUGGUCCUUAUGAUGAUGCACUCCUUUCAUGUUAUUGAUAUGGAUUGUGUGGGUGCUGUAUUCUGGCAGAAAAACUGUAUUGUUCUUUGAUUUGAGUGUAGCUUAAGGCCAUUAUGUGAAAUGGGAGAGAGAGAAAAGAGAACUAGCUAAGGAGUCCUGCAGGAAUACAGGCACAGGCAUCCUAGUCUCACACGCACACUGAGAGGCAAGAGAAAUAGAGAGCCUUCCAUGAAACAAACCAAACAAAAAUACCAAGUCAAAGCAUUGAGCCAUCAUAUGAAGAGCUAUCCAGAAAGGUUGUUGUGCAGAUAUUAACAAGAUGCAAGCAAGCAUUAAGCUAUUGAUGGCAGUGGCUGCAAAGUUUUUGAAUUAAUGAAGUUAAGCUGAACCCCAAAUAAAUAAAUAAAUUCAGUGAGGC